UACAGAGGGGGCAAGCGUUAUUCGGAAUUAUUGGGCGUAAAGGGCGCGUAGGCGGCCUGGCAAGUGGAAGGUGAAAUCCCUCGGCUUAACCGAGGAACUGCCCUCCAAACUGCUUGGCUUGAGUCCAGGAGAGGUGAGUGGAAUUCCCAGUGUAGCGGUGAAAUGCGUAGAUAUUGGGAGGAACACCAGUGGCGAAGGCGGCUCACUGGACCGGAACUGACGCUGAGGAGCGAAAGCGUGGGUAGCAAACAGG
rnacentral:rRNA from 1 species